UACGAAGGUCCCAAGCGUUAUCCGGAUUUAUUGGGUUUAAAGGGUGCGUAGGCGGGUUAUUAAGUCAGUGGUGAAAGCCUUCAGCUUAACUGAAGAAUUGCCAUUGAUACUGACGGGCUUGAGUACAGACGAGGUUGGCGGAAUUGAUUGUGUAGCGGUGAAAUGCAUAGAUACAAUCAAGAACUCCGAUUGCGUAGGCAGCUAACUAGGCUGUAACUGACGCUGAGGCACGAAAGCGUGGGGAGCGAACAGG
rnacentral:rRNA from 1 species